rnacentral:misc_RNA from 1 species
AACGCAAAUUGCACUUGAUUUCGGUCAAGUAUGUUUAUUUGAGGGUUGUUUAUCAAUUUUCUUUAUUUUUUUGUAAAAGAAAAAACAAAGAAUCGAAAAUUUUAUGAAAGAUUAAAUUUUUUCAUAAUUUUUUUUAGAAUUUUUAAACAACAUUUUCUCUCUUUUUUUGUUCUUUUUUCUAAGAGGAAAAAUUCUUUUUAAUAAGAAGAAUUUUUAAUUUCUCUUGGGUAAAAAAAAAGGACAUUUAAAAAAAAAGUUUGAAAAUUUUAUUUGAAUUUUUGUUCUUUUUUGAAUUAUUUCAAAAAAGAAUAAACCUUAAUUUCACAACCUCAAAUUAAACAAGAUUACCCGCUGAAUUUAA